rnacentral:rRNA from 1 species
UGGGGAAUAUUGCGCAAUGGGCGAAAGCCUGACGCAGCGACGCCGCGUGAGGGAUGAAGGUUUUCGGAUCGUAAACCUCUGUCAGAAGGGAAGAAACCGCACUGUGCUAAUCAGCAGUGCCUUGACGGUACCUUCAAAGGAAGCACCGGCUAACUCCGUGCCAGCAGCCGCGGUAAUACGGAGGGUGCAAGCGUUAAUCGGAAUUACUGGGCGCAAAGCGCACGUAGGCUGCUUUGUAAGUCAGGGGUGAAAUCCCACGGCUCAACCGUGGAACUGCCUUUGAUACUGCUUAGCUUGAAUCCGGGAGAGCGUGGCGGAAUUCCAGGUGUAGGAGUGAAAUCCGUAGAUAUCUGGAGGAACAUCAGUGGCGAAGGCGGCCACCUGGACCGGUAUUGACGCUGAGGUGCGAAAGCGUGGGGAGCAAACAGG